rnacentral:rRNA from 1 species
UACAGAGGUCUCAAGCGUUGUUCGGAUUCAUUGGGCGUAAAGGGUGCGUAGGCGGCGCGGUAAGUCGGGUGUGAAAAUCUCGGAGCUUUAACUCCGAAAACUGCAUUCGAUACUGCUGUGCUUGAGGACUGGAGAGGAGACUGGAAUUCCAGGUGUAGCGGUGAAAUGCGUAGAUAUCUGGAGGAACACCGGUGGCGAAGGCGGCAUCCUGGACCGGUAUUGACGCUGAGGCGCGAAAGCCAGGGGAGCAAAGCGGG